GGGAUGCGGUGCUGGCAGCUUUAUACCGGCGACAGCCUCGAGGUGAUGAAUUAUCGAUACGCGACGAAUGUGUAUGACAAUGAUGSGGGUGGAUCGCCUCCCUAGCUAGGAUAACUCCGGGAAACCGGGGCUAAUACCGGAUGGUUGUUUGAACCGCCUGGUUCAAACAUAAAAGGUGGCUUCAGCUACCACUUACAGAUGGACCCGCGGCGCAUUAGCUAGUUGGUGAGGUAACGGCUCACCAAGGCAACGAUGCGUAGCCGACCUGAGAGGGUGAUCGGCCACACUGGGACUGAGACACGGCCCAGACUCCUACGGGAGGCAGCAGUAGGGAAUCUUCCGCAAUGGACGAAAGUCUGACGGAGCAACGCCGCGUGAGUGAUGAAGGUUUUCGGAUCGUAAAGCUCUGUUGUUAGGGAAGAACAAGUACCGUUCGAAUAGGGCGGUACCUUGACGGUACCUAACCAGAAAGCCACGGCUAACUACGUGCCAGCAGCCGCGGUAAUACGUAGGUGGCAAGCGUUGUCCGGAAUUAUUGGGCGUAAAGGGCUCGCAGGCGGUUUCUUAAGUCUGAUGUGAAAGCCCCCGGCUCAACCGGGGAGGGUCAUUGGAAACUGGGGAACUUGAGUGCAGAAGAGGAGAGUGGAAUUCCACGUGUAGCGGUGAAAUGCGUAGAGAUGUGGAGGAACACCAGUGGCGAAGGCGACUCUCUGGUCUGUAACUGACGCUGAGGAGCGAAAGCGUGGGGAGCGAACAGGAUUAGAUACCCUGGUAGUCCACGCCGUAAACGAUGAGUGCUAAGUGUUAGGGGGUUUCCGCCCCUUAGUGCUGCAGCUAACGCAUUAAGCACUCCGCCUGGGGAGUACGGUCGCAAGACUGAAACUCAAAGGAAUUGACGGGGGCCCGCACAAGCGGUGGAGCAUGUGGUUUAAUUCGAAGCAACGCGAAGAACCUUACCAGGUCUUGACAUCCUCUGACAAUCCUAAAGAUAGGACGUCCCCUUUCGGGGCAAAGUGACAAGUGGUGCAUGGGUUGUCGUCAACUCCCGUCGUGAAAUGUUGGGUUAAGUUCCCGCAACGAGCCCAACCCAUGAAUCUUAGAUUGCCUAGCAUUCAAUUUGGCACUUCUACGUGACUGCUGUUGACAAUCCGGAAGAAGGGGGAAUGACGCUCAAUCAUCAGGCCGUAUGACCUGGCUUCCAACGUACUUAAAUGGACAGAACCAAGGGCAAACGCAC
rnacentral:rRNA from 1 species